CGUUUAAAUCUGUUGUCUUUUAAUUUAUUCAUUAAUUUAUUUAGUUCGUCAGGGGUGGAAUGAGAACCUUGAGUUAGUAGGUGUGUGUGUGUGUGACAACCAUCGUCUUACUAUUUGUUUCGUGUGUCGGUGCCGUGAAGCAAUUGAAGCACCGUCUGGGGGUUCACAUGUUGCUUGAGUCUCAGGUGACGAGAGGCAUUGUGGAACCGCGGCCCGUAUUCUCAAACGCUCUGCUCUCUCACCAUGAUAAUGUCAAAGGCCACAGAGACGAUUUGGCGGGUGCUCAAGACAGUUUCCUCUCUCAUAAAGUGGAAAUCUUGUCAGUCUGUCACCGGAACUGUAAACACACCCUUAAAAACCCGUGUAACUUCAACUAGACCCUUUUUAAAGUAGUAGAGGUGCGGCGCGGAAGUGCUUUAGGUCAGCCGAGGUGGAGCGGACUAGAAGACCGGUCGGUCACUCGUGCGAAGCCCUCCAGGCGCCUGCUGUGUGCUGACGGAGGGAAUAUAGUGUUCCAGUCUAAGUUGUUCUAGUGGCGGUGUUACUUUUGAGGUGGUGCCGUCGCUAGCAAGGGCACCAAUCCAUGGCCGGUGUGGAGAAUACUGCGUUAUCACUGCCUCUGUAUGAUGUAUUCCACUCAUAAACGAAAACUAUAAGGGACGAAGUGAGUGGGCGUGGAACCCCUCUUUCCCUCCCUAUUCUUGUACAUCUGCUGUAAUGAAAGGACAAAAGUAGCAGACCAGAUGAAGAGAUGCAAGUGAGGCAGUGGAGUAUGUGGACAGGAACAAAAACAAGGUGUUUCCAGUGCUGCUGAGGGAGUUUGUAAGGAAAUGGAUAUUGUUAACACACCAUUGAGAUAAUCUUCCCACACCAGAACAGAGUGAAGGAGGGAGGGAGGUUAGUGCCAAGAGGAGGAGCAGACAAGAGGCUUUGGAGAGAGAGACGUUAGCCUGGCUGGGCGUUGUCAGGUUAAGUGAGGCUGUGGCGGCAUUACCAGGCAUGAGGUAGGCCAUGUUCUUAGCAUCCUCACGCUCCCGCUCGCUC